AACGUAGGUCACAAGCGUUGUCCGGAAUUACUGGGUGUAAAGGGAGCGCAGGCGGGAAGACAAGUUGGAAGUGAAAUCCAUGGGCUCAACCCAUGAACUGCUUUCAAAACUGUUUUUCUUGAGUAGUGUAGAGGUAGGCGGAAUUCCCGGUGUAGCGGUGGAAUGCGUAGAUAUCGGGAGGAACACCAGUGGCGAAGGCGGCCUACUGGGCACCAACUGACGCUGAGGCUCGAAAGUGUGGGUAGCAAACAGG
rnacentral:rRNA from 1 species